rnacentral:rRNA from 1 species
UACGUAGGGUGCAAGCGUUAAUCGGAAUUACUGGGCGUAAAGCGUGCGCAGGCGGCCAUGCAAGACAGAUGUGAAAUCCCCGGGCUUAACCUGGGAACUGCAUUUGUGACUGCAUGGCUAGAGUGCGGCAGAGGGGGAUGGAAUUCCGCGUGUAGCAGUGAAAUGCGUAGAUAUGCGGAGGAACACCGAUGGCGAAGGCAAUCCCCUGGGCCUGCACUGACGCUCAUGCACGAAAGCGUGGGGAGCAAACAGG